AGGCCCUAAGAGCAAUAGCAAUGAAUAAAUGAGCAGGUGCAGGAUUUGACGAAAGGGCCUGGGGCCACCACUGACUGAGAAACAUCGCGAGGACUGGAAUACCCUGCAAGUAGAGGUUUUAUGCUCUCGUGUACGUAAUCACGUAAACAAAACUUAACUCGGCAGUGCGUACAAGAGAUGAUGAAACCUCCGCUUGCCAAUCUCGUUCCCAGACCCCACGUACCUUUGUGCCAGCGGCGAGGCUCUGGGAUAAUCAAUUUUUCAAGUGAUUCUUAUUGGCUAUCGAGCUUGCUACAUAGAGCAUGCGCAAAGGAAGUGAAUAGAACAGCACCACGACGCCUGUUAUACAUUCUAGUAAAUUUUCUGUUUUGAAACUAAAAUGGCUGAGAAAACUUCCACAAAGCCAGCGAACACAUUGAAAACCAAAGUUGAUCGUUGCUGCUACAAACUUUUAGUACAACACGAUAAUUAUUUGUGGCUUUUUAGGUCUUACAACAGAAAGGGAGGCCUUGUGGAAAGCCUGUGGGAAAUUACGAAUGUAAUGGCAAAGCGUGCGACGUCGCAACAUAUCUCUUUCUUCAUCUCGGCAGAUUAACUCGUUGAAAGAGUUCUGCGGUAUGUGUCGGUUCUCCGACAAAAAACAACGCGAAGGCAAUAAAAUCAAAAGGCCCGUCCGUUGGCGUUAACGACUACUUCCAGGAAGGCAAACACGGAGUCCCAACAUGCUUGGGCACAGAAAUCAAUGCGUGAGUGAAUAUUCCUGAUUUUCAAUCGAAUCAAUCGAAAGUUGGAUCGAUCAGUUUAACAGAUCAACUCCGUUCAUUCCGGUCGGAACCAACAGACUCUGUGAAAAAAAUUAUCCCAGAGCCGUGUACCAGGACGCUGGCAUAAAGGUGACCGGUGCUGCGCAUGCGCAGUACUUGCCUUGACACAAGCGGCCUCCGCUGCCUUGAGGGUUUUCACGACAGCCUGCAUGAGGUUCUCCGCAUUGCGCACCAGCACGGCGUCCGCCUAGGCAAGGAGCGAACAAUCAUUAAUCAUCUGCAAUAUCACUGUUAUCGUUAUCUUCACUGUCAUCCACAUUUUCAUCAUCACCACCAUUAUAUUCAUCGUCACAACAAUCAUCUGUGGUUAUUGUCCCCUUAGCGAUAUAUCUGUGGUUAUUAGCGAUAUAUCUGUGGGUAUUGUCCCCUUAGCGAUAUAUCUGUGGGUGUGGUCCCCUUAGCGAUAUAUCUGUGGGUGUGGUCCCCUCACCAAUAUAUCUGUGGGUGUGGUCCCCUUACCGAUAUAUCUGUGGGUGUGGUCCCCUUAUCUUAUCGGUAUAAGUCUGCAUGCGUAAAUGUUAGAUUUGCUUGAAACAAUGUAUAAAGUAGUAUUAAUUAUUUAUUUCUAUA